UCGAGGGGAAACGACAUCGAAAGCUUGCUUUUGAUGGGCGUCGACCGGCGCACGGGUGAGUAACGCGUAUCCAACCUGCCACCACUUGGGGAUAACCUUGCGAAAGUAAGACUAAUACCCAAUGAUAUCUCUAGAAGACAUCUGAAAGAGAUUAAAGAUUUAUCGGUGAUGGAUGGGGAUGCGUCUGAUUAGCUAGUUGGUAAGGUAACGGCCCACCAAACCGACGAUGGAUAGGGGUUCUGAGAGGAAGGUCCCCACAUUGGUACUGAGACACGGACCAAACUCC
rnacentral:rRNA from 1 species